rnacentral:rRNA from 1 species
UACGUAGGGUGCGAGCGUUGUCCGGAAUUACUGGGCGUAAAGAGCUCGUAGGUGGUUUGUCGCGUUGUUCGUGAAAACUCACAACUCAAUUGUGGGCGUGCGGGCGAUACGGGCAGACUGGAGUACUGCAGGGGAGACUGGAAUUCCUGGUGUAGCGGUGGAAUGCGUAGAUAUCAGGAGGACACCGGUGGUGUAGACGGCUC